GGGUGAGUGUGAGGAGUGAGAUGGCGGCUGCGGGCACCAUGGAAAUGUCAUCGCUGCCUGCGGCUCCAACGGGGACAUGACGUCCUCCUCUGAAAUGACCUUUACAGGCGUGAAACUGCCCGCGGGCGGGAGGUUGAUACCGAGCAAGCAGCGGAACGCAAGGCGGCCGCGGAGGCGGGGGAUGCCCCGGGGGUUUCGCUGUGUAACACCUCCCAGCGCUGGGAAAGGGGACGGAAGGCGGCGCACACCAUUUGCCGACUGCACUAAAAUAUUCCGCCAACAGUAAUGAAUAAGGCCUUGCAGGAAUCUAUAAAAGGUAAAUGGGAGGACAGAAAGUGGUGCGAAAACUUUGAAAGGCACUGAGAAGUCCAAGACCUUGUUGCUGGCUGAAGAAUGCAGACUAUAAAGUGCGUAGUUGUUGGAGACGGCGCUGUGGGAAAAACUUGUCUCCUUAUCAGCUAUACCACCAAUGCCUUCCCAGAAGAAUACAUCCCUACCGUGUUUGACAACUACAGUGCCCAAAUGACUGUUGAUGGGCGGACAGUUAGCCUGAAUCUCUGGGACACUGCAGGCCAGGAGGAGUACGACCGCCUGCGCACACUCUCGUAUCCUCAAACCAAUGUGUUCGUCAUCUGUUUCUCCAUUGGUUGCCCCUCUUCCUAUGCAAAUGUGAGGCACAAAUGGCAUCCCGAAGUUUCUCAUCACUGUCCAAAUGUUCCCAUUCUUUUAGUGGGCACGAAGAGAGACUUGAGAAAUGACCUGGAAACGGUUAAAAAGUUGAAAGAGCAAAGCUUGGCUCCCACUACCCCGCAGCAGGGGACUUCACUGGCUAAACAAAUUGGAGCAGUCAAAUAUUUGGAGUGCUCAGCAUUGAAUCAGGAGGGUGUUCGGGAGGUGUUUGCUGAAGCUGUGCGUGCAGUUCUGUAUCCUGUGACAAAGAAGAACACAAGAAAAUGUGUCUUAUUGUAGUUACCUCGGGGGAUGGAUGUUCGAAGUUGAAUGGAGGGUUCUUUAAUUAGUUAAAUUGAAGAUUUGCAUCUUGCACUAACAGCUCUAAGCAGAAAUGGUUUAUGCAAUGAAUAUUCUUGCAGUCUUAUUGCUUCAGGGAAACUGAAACAGAACACACCUUUUUAUUUUUCCGACUGAGAGGUCAAAUAUCUACUUUAUUUCUAAAGUUCCAGUCUCCAGCUUCUCCAGGGAUCACUUGGCUUCUGUCCUUAUUUAGUGGAGGAAAAUAAAAGGGACUUCUUUGAAGCCAGAUUUCUUUACUAGAUAGCCAUCAGUUACUAGAUUUGCUGAAAAGCACAAAUUCUGAUAACUUUGCUUUAUGUGUAACUGCUGCUUUUCCUAUCCCUUAUUUACUGAUUGAAUUUAUUUUAGAGACAGAAGUCUGGCUGUCCAGUUGCUUUGUCAAUUUAAAGCUUGAAAACUAUUUGUUUACAUGCAAAAAUGCCUGAAAUAUUCCUGAGAUUCACCUUAUAGUGAACUGUGAUCACUUAGAUGAAGAGUUAAUGUAAGGCAUGCUUAAUGAAAUAAGCAAGGCCCAGGGAACACGUUUGGUGAUUUCAUUAGUAGAAGCAGGAGCUGAUUUCUCCUAAUGUAAGGAACUUAGGAUAAUGGUGACUCACUCAAAUGAGUGAUUUUCAUGCUUUUUGGGAGGUGGAAGAGUAGUUUAGAUGCGAAUCUUCCAUAAUCUUCUAAAACGAGUUUUUAUUUCACUCUCUUAAGACACUUUGCACCCUGAGAAUAAAGUUAAGUUACCUUUUUGGACUGAGGUAGUUGGGAUGACAUUUCUCAAAAUGGGAUUUUCAGUGUGAUCCUUUUGAAUCCCAGAGACCUGAUAGCAGUCCAUUUGCUCUUGAGAAAUUAAGUGCUUCAUUUCUUAGUGUUCUUGGGGCCACCACCUGAGAUUUUUGUGGCAAAUUCCUUUGUUGUUUUUCUAGGAGAACACUGGCAGAAAAUUUGGAGCUCUAUUUACAGGAACCAGGAACCCACAUUUCUUCCUAGCAGCUCACUGAUGGUUUCAGUUAAAUUUGUAAUCGUUAGCCAGUCACUGGAUAGGUUUACCUGGACAGUUUUCUCCUCACUAGUAGGUGGUCAGUUAUUAUAAACUAGUUUAACUGAAGUUCUAUUUGUGUACUUUUUAGCUUUCUUUAGCAGCUCUAGUGAGUGGCAGCUGGUUUUUAUUUUCAGGAUGUGCACUGUUCUUUCUGUGUGAUUCUGGGACCAGCUGAGGAGUGAGCGCAUGAAACCUUCCUUAGACUUAACCUUCCAGCUUGGUGGUAUGAAAGCAGCUUGCUUCAAAGAUACUUUGUGUGAAACCAAUGGUGCUGGACUGCGCUUUGUUGUCUCGAGUUGACAGUGCUGUCUUUGUCCGGAUGCAGCCUCAAUUGGUAAUUCAGAACUUGCUCUCUUGUGAUUCCCACACAUGCAGAUCUGUACUGGUGUAUAUCCUGGGCAGAAAAAAGGCACCUCAUUUUAGCAAGAUAAGAGGAAAUGCAUCAACAAGGUUAUUAGGGAUCUUCUGUUAAUUUGACCUUGUUUUAUGUGAUACAGGCAAAAAUACCAGGUGGACAGAAACACUGGUAUUUGUGCCUUAAUUCCCCUCUUUGAAGAGGAUGUGCCUUUCUUUAGCUGGUGCUGACACUAACUGCAAUUUUUGUAUAUCUGAGGUAUGCUCGUACUGAUACUGCUUCAGCAAACUGCAGCCCAUAGAUUAUAGCAGUUAAUCCCAAUACUGGUAUAUGUGACUGGUGAACCCAACACCAAGUUCCAAGCGUUGCCUGACCACAGGCAACACCAAAACACCUGCUAUGCCUGACGUUUGCAGAAGCCUAGAGACUCGGCAUAUUUUUCUUCACCAAGUGCCAUUGCCUGGAGUGUCUUUGUGUCUCUUGCACUCACAGAAGUGCUGUUCCAGAUGUGGCUCCAGCCGCAGCUGUGAGGGUGCAGGAGUAACCUCUGCUAACCACAUUCUGCCUUUACUUCAGCAGUCGGCCUUCAGUGUGGGCUUGACUUGCCGGCGGCAAUUAACUCUGUGCCUUGUAAUUCAAGAUUAUUUUCUGUAGGUAAAUUUCAGUAACCAAGUCAAUAGAGUUUAAAAGGUUUAAAAUGUAUUUAUUUAAGCCAGAGCACAUGUCUGUUCUUUAAUGCUAGUCAGGCCUAAAUCAACUGUGUAGUUACCCUGGUGCAAGCCCGUAACCUUUGCUUCCUUCAGAGAUGUACUUUUAAAAGUUUAUGAUAUGUUUGAACUGCUCUUAAAUAGAUUUUUAAUUUCAACAACAGGCACCUCCUUUUUUUUUAUUUUUUUUUUUUUUUUGCUACAUACAUUUGCGAUUUUGUACUGAAGCUACUACUGUUUUAAGAAGUUUUUACUUUUUUUACGUGCUGAAAUCUUAAGUUCUGCAUCCUUUGUGGUUAUUCCUAACUGGAUUACAAUAAUUUUGUGGAGGAGAAAUCCUGUGAGUGUUAUUGCACACACCCACCCUGUAGGCUCGCACAGCAGCCAUCCUGAUGUUAACUGGAAGACAGUAUGGUGAGAUAAAAUUCAACUACUUAAUUGAUUUAUUUGAAUUGAUUACAUUGUGCUAGAACACUUUACCCCAUCUAGAUUACUUAAGAAAUGGAUUGCACAACAGUACUGAGGAGAGUAGCGUGAUGAUGAUGAAAAUGAGCAGAAAGUGAACUCUGAACACCAUCAAAAACUUUUCAGUGACUUUAGAGUACCUCCUUAGUAGUCGUUUAGUUGCCUCGUGUUUCUGUCCUUGCCGCUGGCAGCUGGUUUCCUCCGGCCGCGGCUUUUCAGGAGAACGAGAACUCGGCCGCGCACGGAGCCAACGAGAUUUUCUAUUCCGCGGGCGUUCCCAGUCCGCGAUCUUCCUGCCUUUUUAUUUUCCCCUGUAAUUCUUGGUGCAUUUUAUUGCGAGUAAUCCAAUGCUUCAGUCUACAAUCCAUUCUGUUCCUCCCACAUAUGUGGUGGUGUUUGUUUUUUUUACUGUGGGCAGGUAACAAAUACAGACUUCACACAACCCCUUGGCUGGAUUUUGUCUGUUUUUGGGAAAUCGGAAAACCAGGGUUAAGCUGCGUGGGUUUCCCGAACCGUUGGAGGUUUCUUGGUUCGUUACUGAAGAGAAACGCAGCGUGUAUGUCUUAAUUCACAGAUGAGACUCUCUAUGAAGAGAUGGAUUGUAAUCUUCCAGUUUAUGAAUGAUUUCUGAAAUACUUCAGUGUUUUUUUUAAAUACAGCUGAAGCCACCCACAGGGAGUGGAUCGGUUCAGGAAUUCCGUGUCCAAAGGAUGUUACAAGGCGUGCUUAGACGUAGAAGUGCUUUCUCCGGUUUACAGCUGUAGCUGUUUCUAUGGAAUUUAAACUGAAAAGCCUGGCCGUGCCUUGCCUGAGCGCUAAGCCCGGCUCUGUAGGACCUCGGUGCUUUUGGGCUGUCUCCGGGACACGGGUGGGUCUCACAGGGGUCCCGGUCCCAGCCCCGGGGGCUGUGGGGAGCCCAAGACUCUUAAGUGUGGUACUGAUACAUACACUGGCAACUUGAUUUUUAUACUAUAAUUUGUAUUACAGCUAACAGUUUUAAAGGAUUUUUUUUUUUUAAAUUAUGCGGGAUUAAGUUGUAAUAAACCUUUCCUCAUCUCUCUGGCUCUCAUAUUAACUCGCCAAGCUGUUUGUAACGCACCUGUUCUAAACGUAGUUCUUUCCUGUGGAAAGCCCGGACCCCGUUUCUCAAACGCAAUAAAACGAUUUUUCGGUGAA